rnacentral:rRNA from 1 species
GGGGCUUCUGAUGAAGCUCUGGGUCACCUCCCACCCGUGUUUAUUGUACCUUGUUGCUUCGGUGCGCCCGCCUCACGGCCGCCGGGGGGCUUCUGCCCCCGGGUCCGCGCGCACCGGAGACACCAUUGAACUCUGUCUGAAGAUUGCAGUCUGAGCAUAAACUAAAUAAGUUAAAACUUUCAACAACGGAUCUCUUGGUUCCGGCAUCGAUGAAGAACGCAGCGAAAUGCGAUAACUAAUGUGAAUUGCAGAAUUCAGUGAAUCAUCGAGUCUUUGAACGCACAUUGCGCCCCCUGGUAUUCCGGGGGGCAUGCCUGUCCGAGCGUCAUUGCUGCCCUCAAGCACGGCUUGUGUGUUGGGCUCCGUCCCCCCGGGGACGGGUCCGAAAGGCAGCGGCGGCACCGAGUCCGGUCCUCGAGCGUAUGGGGCUUUGUCACCCGCUCUGUAGGCCCGGCCGGCGCCAGCCGACAACCAAUCAUCCUUUUUUCAGGUUGACCUCGGAUCAGGUAGGGAUACCCGCUGAACUUAAGCAUAUCAAUAAGCGGAGGAA